rnacentral:rRNA from 1 species
GACGAACGCUGGCGGCGUGCUUAACACAUGCAAGUCGAACGGAAAGGCCCUGCUUUUGUGGGGUGCUCGAGUGGCGAACGGGUGAGUAACACGUGAGUAACCUGCCCUUGACUUUGGGAUAACUUAAGGAAACUGGGGCUAAUACCGGAUAGGAGCUCCUGCUGCAUGGUGGGGGUUGGAAAGUUUCGGCGGGUGGGGAUGGACUCGCGGCUUAUCAGCUUGUUGGUGGGGUAGGGGCUUACCAAGGCUUUGACGGGUAGCCGGCCUGAGAGGGGGACCGGCCACAUGGGGACUGAGGUACGGCCCAGACUCCUACGGGAGGCAGCAGUGGGGAAUAUUGCACAAUGGGCGGAAGCCUGAUGCAGCAACGCCGCGUGCGGGAUGACGGCCUUCGGGUUGUAAACCGCUUUCGCCUGUGACGAAGCGUGAGUGACGGUAAUGGGUAAAGAAGCACCGGCUAACUACGUG